rnacentral:rRNA from 1 species
GUGGAAGUGCAGUAAUGCAUUAAGCUAACCAGUACUAAUUGCCCGUACGGCUUGUCCCUAUAACCUUAGCAGGU